GCCAGUGUGGCAUAAUGGUUUAAGUGUUGGAUUACAACUCUGGAGACCAGGGUUGGAUUCCCUGCUCAGCCA
rnacentral:tRNA from 1 species